UCCGUUUGAUCCUGGCAGAGGCCACUGCUAUCGGAGUUCGAUUAAGCCAUGCGAGUCGAGAGGUGUAAGACCUCGGCAUACUGCUCAGUAACACGUGGAUAACCUACCCUCAGGAGGGGGAUAACCCCGGGAAACUGGGGAUAAUACCCCAUAGACUAUGGAAGCUGGAAUGCUCUGUAGCCGAAAGGUCAGCCGCCUGAGGAUGGGUCUGCGGCCGAUUAGGUUGUUGUUGGGGUAACGGCCCAACAAGCCUGUAAUCGGUACGGGUUGUGGGAGCAAGAGCCCGGAGAUGGAUUCUGAGACACGAAUCCAGGCCCUACGGGGCGCAGCAGGCGCGAAAACUUUACAAUGCGGGAAACCGUGAUAAGGGAACUCCGAGUGCCCGUAAAUUCGGGCUGUCAAUCUGUUUAAAUAACAGGUUAAGAAAGGGCCGGGCAAGACCGGUGCCAGCCGCCGCGGUAAUACCGGCGGCUCGAGUGGUGGCCACUAUUACUGGGCUUAAAGCGUCCGUAGCUGGUCUGUUAAGUCUCUGGGGAAAUCUACCGGCUUAACCGGUAGGCGUCUCAGGGAUACUGGCAGACUAGGGACCGGGAGAGGUGAGAGGUACUCCAGGGGUAGGAGUGAAAUCCUGUAAUCCUUGGGGGACCACCUGUGGCGAAGGCGUCUCACCAGAACGGCUCCGACAGUGAGGGACGAAAGCUGGGGGAGCAAACCGGAUUAGAUACCCGGGUAGUCCCAGCUGUAAACGAUGCGCGUUAGGUGUAUCGGUGACCACGAGUCACCGAGGUGCCGAAGGGAAACCGUGAAACGUGCCGCCUGGGAAGUACGGUCGCAAGGCUGAAACUUAAAGGAAUUGGCGGGGGAGCACCACAACGGGUGGAGCCUGCGGUUUAAUCGGACUCAACGCCGGGAAUCUCACCGGAUAAGACAGCUGAAUGAUUGCCGGGCUGAAGACUCUGCAUGACUAGCUGAGAGGAGGUGCAUGGCCGUCGUCAGUUCGUACUGUGAAGCAUCCUGUUAAGUCAGGCAACGAGCGAGACCCA
rnacentral:rRNA from 1 species